GUACUUGCUUUGGCAGUACAUAUUCUAAAUUGGAACAAUACAGAGAUUAGUUAGCAUGUCCCAGUGCAAGGAUGAGAUGCAAAUCCAUGAAGCAUUCUAUGUUCAA
rnacentral:snRNA from 1 species